rnacentral:rRNA from 1 species
UACAGAGGUCUCGAGCGUUGUUCGGAUUCAUUGGGCGUAAAGGGUGCGUAGGUGGCGUGGUAAGUCGUGGUGGUGAAAUCCCGGGGACCGUCAACCCCCGGAAUGCACUGGAUACUGCCAUGCUUGAGUACUGGAGAGGAGAUUGGAAUUUACGGUGUAGCAGUGAAAUGCGUAGAUAUCGUAAGGAAGACCAGUGGCGAAGGCGAAUCUCUGGACAGUUACUGACACUGAGGCACGAAGGCCAGGGGAGCAAACGGG